CCUACGGGAGGCAGCAGUGGGGAAUAUUGGACAAUGGGCGAAAGCCUGAUCCAGCCAUGCCGCGUGAAGGAUGAAGGUCCUCUGGAUUGUAAACUUCUUUUAUAGGGGGCGAAAAAAGGGAAAUCUUUCUCACUUGACAGUACCCUAUGAAUAAGCACCGGCUAACUCCGUGCCAGCAGCCGCGGUAAUACGGAGGGUGCCAGCGUUAUCCGGAUUCACUGGGUUUAAAGGGUGCGUAGGCGGGCGUAUAAGUCAGUGGUGAAAUCCUGGAGCUUAACUCCAGAACUGCCAUUGAUACUAUAUGUCUUGAAUAUGGUGGAGGUAAUCGGAAUAUGUCAUGUAGCGGUGUAGUGCAUAGGUAUGACAUAGAACACCUAUUGCGAAGGCAGCUUACUACGCCUAGAUGAUCGCUGAGGCACGUAAGCGUGAGGAUCAACCAAGAUUAGAUACGCUGGUAGUC
rnacentral:rRNA from 1 species